rnacentral:miRNA from 1 species
AUGACGUAGGCAGAAAGGCUG